rnacentral:misc_RNA from 1 species
CUCCAUAUUUCAAAUUCUUUGUUGCCGGAAUCUGGGAUAUCUUCAAUUGUACAAGUCAACCUUCAAUGUCUCCUAAUGAUCAAAGAAACAAAAUCUCGACGAAUUCAUCAAAUAAAUAAUGCUUUUAUAUCCUAUUUCUAUGACCCAAUUGAAACAUUCAAGGUCUCUUUUAGAUGCUCAUGAGUCUGGUGGCCAAAGAGAUGUCAUAACCCUAUGAAGAUCAAUCCAAGGUAAAUUUCUGAUUUCUAAUUUUGAAUUUUGUCGUUAAGCUUGAGCAAGAUCAACUCCGGGGUAACAAAAACUAGGUGCACCUUCAUGAGAAGUCCAUACCAGGAGUUCCAGUGUCAUCCCUGGUUUAUAAAUAGACAACAUUUGCUCAAGGACCAACACCACGUCAUUGCCGAUAAUGUGAAAAUUUUAGUGAAGCAUCAUUCCACGUAAAACGCCCUUGGAUGUCAAUAGGCCUAUAAAAGAUUUUGAGUCCAGUGCUAAAGCAAUACAAUACUAGGAUGAUACAUGUUGAGAAAGAAAACCAGUAUCUCUUUUCAGGACAUUGCCUAUCAACUAAACGAAAUCUCAUGCCAUCCUGUUUGCAAUGGAAAAUACAAGAAGCACCACAUUUGACAGAAUAUGACAAGCUGCAUUCACCGCUAGAGCAAAUUUAUUAUUCAUAGCCCUCUCAAUCAUUAAUCACAAUAUCAGCAAUGCAUCACUUAAAUCCUCCUUCCUGUUAAAUCACUCCGUUUUUUGACGUUUUGAAUUUGGAGGGCUCGGUUCAAUAUCACUACGGUGACGGGAUGCCCCAGUAUCAGAGGUUUCAGCCUGGGUAGAAGAACUUUGAGCUCUUUGAUGCUCAAUGUCAUGCAGAUCUCCCUGAGGAAUAGCAUUUGGUUCUGCAGCCCCACGUUCAGAUAUGAUUGGCAUAAUUUCAUGAAGCAAAUUAGAUAAAAAUACCCCUUCAUCAGUAACUCCUGAUUGUGCUUCAACAGGGGCAGAGGAUGCCCCUCCAUUCUCAGGGCUAGAACCAGUAGCUGUUCCCUGUAAGCCUGCAUCCUCCACCUGGAUUUCCCCAACUGGAAGGAGGUUCCUUAGAAGCUGCAAAAUACUGUUCUGUCUCUCAGAUUCAGGAUUGUUUUGGGUUCCACCAGCUGACAGAAUGUUGAUAUUUAUGCUACGAGUACUUGAAGGCUCCUGUUGUCUUAAGUUGGAAGUUGGUAUUGAUCCAUCUCUUAUCUGAUGUUCAGCACUUAGCCGUUGCACAGCAGGUUCAGAAGUUGAAUGCUGCUCAGUCUGAACACCAGCAGAAUGAUGCUCACCGGAUGCCUGAGAUCCUCGUGCACCACUGACAUGCUGGAAUCUUCCAAGAAGAGGAUAAUAUAAUCCUAUAGAAUUAUUAGGAGAAUCAGAAGGAAGGCGACUGAAUGGACCAGGAACUGCUGCAACCAUGGUUCUGAUUGGUACAACCCGCACUCCAGUCUCUCCACCAAAAGCUGAACUCUCCGUUAUCCUAGAUGUUGUUUGAUUGCCAAGAUUUUCACCACCAGAACCUGUUGGCUGGUUUCUCUGCCCUGAGGGCUGCUGAGUAUCACCCUGUUCCUCACGGUUAAGAUUGGGGGAGGCCGUUGAGGAACCUCUUCGAAUUUGUAUAUCAAUACGCCUCGGAAGAAACCCAGUACCUAUACCAUUGACUAAACCGGAUCCAGGCUGCACAGAUCCCACAGGGACGGCACCAAAGCCUGCUCCUGGUUGAAAAGGAAGAGGCUGAACCAUUAGAGGAUUAGGACCAAAUUGAUUUAUGAAAACUGCAGGACCCGCAUUGACCACAGCGUCUGACGGUGCUUGACCUAGUCGAAGAGUCAUUGUAGUCCGUCCAAGUUCAAGUAGAAAUGCACCUAAAUUAUGAAGUUGAACUCCAGUCCUCCAUGCACUGGACUGAGUGCUCGACCGUGAUGCAGGAUCAGUAACAUUUGCUUGACUCUCUAGUUGCCUCGCAAGUUGUUGUAAGCAUUCUGCAACUUGUCCAUUGAUAAAUUGUCUGCUAGACAGCAUCACUUCAGCCAAGGAUGCAGGUGUUGGAAGCGGUUCUUGUACAGUUCCUGAUCUUGAUGUGGAAUCAGAGUCUCUUUGCUCAGUCCUCUGUAUAGCCUCUCCUUGAGCAAUAUUUUCCCCCACUCUGCCGAUAGCAUUGAAUUCACGCCUCAUAAGACUCAGAUAUUGGGUCAAAGUUGUCAAAGAAUCAGGAAUUACAAGGGGAUUCAAAGACUCCAAAGAUACUCCUGUUGGAAGGCCAAAAGCACUUUGUGAUCUAUCAGAUUGAACCCUGCUGCCAGCUUGCUCAGGUAGCAGCCCAGCUGCAUCUGGUGUACCACUAGCAGCUGGUGAUCUAUGCUGUCCACGCCUUGCAGCAUCAAGUCCUUCAUUGCCACUUCCAAUAUUUUGAAAUCCAAAUGAACCAAGAACAGCAGAAACAAUCCUACUGAUUUCGAGAGGAACUCCAUCACCUUGUUCAGGCACACUAAAAGUUUCUAUUACAACACUAGGGGCCACAUGACCACGACUUGUACUUGAAGCAGGAUCAGUUGCUGAAUGAUUGGGCAUGCCAUCAGAAGAUGGCAGAAGAGGUUGCCUGACUACCAGGUGCAAGGUAUGCCCAUCUUCAACAUGAUAUGCAGAGAGUAGUUGAUCAUCCUUUAAAACUUUUCCGCGGCAUAUUAAACGUUGUUGUUCUGAUAACACGCCUGUGACAGAAGCAAUCUGUUCUUUCAAAGCAGGAACUGGCAUCUGUUUGUCCACUCUUAAAGUAUAUGUUUGAGAGUCCAAAGUUUUUAUUUUUAUUUCAAUUGUCGUCUCUGAACCUUCAGCCUCACCUGCCCUAGGAAUUUUCUGAGCACCAUCAUCUCCCAUUAUCUUUAAAACAACAAAUACCUGAGAUUAAGAAAGAAGAUAGCUUGGUAAGGAGAUUGAGGAGACGGAGAAGAGGGAGAGAUGUAUGGACGAAGUGAAGUCGAUGCAAGCGGAGAGAAAUAUACAAAUUACUGCUCUCUCUCUCCCUCUCUCUCUAUCUCUCUCUCUCUCACAGCUGAUUGUAGGAGGAGGAGGGGAUGUCAAUAAGCUUCUUCUAAUAAGAUUUUUUUUUUUU